UGCAGAUAAAGAUGCUCUGAGAGUAAAGAGCAGAGGGGUGCUCUCUGGUGGCCCAGCAGUUCUGCCCCACGGGAGAGGUUUCUCGUCUGCUGCAACGUAAACCAAUAGGACUCUGCUUCAUCCCAGAACCAAGGGGACCAGGAAUGAAGGUCAGAGUGAGGAGCUGUCUGAGUGUUUCAGAUCACACAGUGACAUCCUGAUUGACGACUUCAGAAAUCCUUCAUGAGCGAGGAGGCAGCCCCUGAGGUGACAGCCCCAACCACCUCGAGGACAUCACAUCAGCAGGAGCAGCCACGUGGGUAUUUGUUUCUGUCCCUGGAUUCUAAGUUCCUGAAGGACUGGACACAUCCAUCACCCACAUGUAAACCCAGCACCUAGCACAGUGGCUACCAUACAAUAGGGUUUAAGACACAUGGGAGGAAUCCAAUCAUCAGACUACCCCAGGGCUGCUAGAACUCAGAAAGGGAUCCCCAUCAUUUGGGGGAUUGGACGAAGGUCUUCAUUUCUGUUCUUUCCAGCACCAACCUCCAUGGCUCCACUCAUCCCUACUCCUUCCUCCUGUUAAGAUUGGCCAGUCAGGAGAGGUGUAGAGGCAGGAGCAGCUACACCUGGUCUCCUCCACCACCCACAGUGGGGUGCACCCUUGAUGGGACCUGGUGAGCAUGACAGCCCCUGAGCCAUGGGGACCUGGAGCCUCUGCAGCCCCACAGAGACCAGGAGGAGCUGUUCAGCCACUUGCAGAGACAGCCAGAGAGUGCUUCAAGGACUGCAUGGAGCUCUGCAGAAGCAGGGCGUUCAGGGCCCUCUUUUGAGGGGCAUGAGAUAUUUAGGCAGGAUCAUGUCUACAAAAGAGGCUGUCACUUUGGCUUAUCAAUACUUU
rnacentral:lncRNA from 10 species